rnacentral:ncRNA from 1 species
UACUUAUCUUUGAACUAAUGAAAAUUUUAACUGUACAUACUUGGUGGUGGAAUAACUUACGAAAAACGUCGUGAGCUAACACCGCUUUGUAUAUUAACCAUAUCCAAAAAGGCUUGUC